GGGUUGGGAUUCAGUACAAAUAAUAUGCUGUCUAAGUAAUACAUCUAACUAAAGGACAAAAAGACCCUUUGAAGCUUUAUAGGGAUAAAACUUUGAUUGCAUUUUUUAGCUUAGGCCGCUCAAAGAUCUAUAUCUGAGGUGUGCCUUAAUAAAUUUAUUUAUUGGUACUGC
rnacentral:rRNA from 1 species